rnacentral:rRNA from 1 species
CCCUUAGAUGUCCGGGGCUGCACGCGCGCUACACUGAAGGGAUCAGCGUGCUAAAACCAUUGUCGAAAGGCAUUGGUAAACCCAUUAAAAUCCUACGUGAUUGGGAUCGGGAAUUGCAAUUAUUUCCCUUGAACGAGGAAUUCCCAGUAAGUGUGGGUCAUAAGCUCGCGUUGAUUACGUCCCUGCCCUUUGUACACACCGCCCGUCGCUGCCCGGGACUGAGCCGUUUCGAGAAAAGCGGGGACUGCUGCUGUCGGGGCUUUCGGGCCUUGGCUUCGGUGGAAACCGCUUUAAUCGCAGUGGCUUGAACCGGGCAAAAGUCGUAACA